AUCAUCAAGAGGUUGGUAAGCAAGAUGAUCGGCAAGAAUGCUACCUUUGAUUGCCUUUUGAGUUUUGAACACAAUAUCGUAUUCAGACAAAAGCAUCUGCCAGCGUGCAAUCUUCCCAGUAACAGCAGCUUUCUCAAAGAUAUACUUUAUCGGAUCCAUUCUGGAUAUCAACCAAGUUGUAUGAUUCACCAAAUAAUGACGCAGGCGUUUAGCGGCCCAGGCCAAAGCACAACAAGUCUUCUCAAGCAUUGUAUACCGA
rnacentral:lncRNA from 1 species